UGAGCUAUGAUCGUGCCACUGCACUCCAGCCUGGGUAACAGAGCGAGACCAUGUCUCUUAAAAAAAAUAUUUAGGAUAGCCACAAGGAGAAUCCUGGUGACUGAAUGACAGACGCGGAUGGGGUGGUUUCAAGAGAUGCAGGGGUUAGAAUCUUCAAAAGUUCUAAGAUCUAUUCCUGCCCAACUCAGAUCAGCAACUCUGGAAGAUUCCCCAGAAGCUGGAGUCUCCUCCCUGGUGGUCAGGACCAGGUGCCCAGGGUGACCCUGAGACAGAUAUAAUAGCAGCCAGCGUUUGCUCAGCCCUCUUCCUGCACGGAGCACUGUGCAAACUCUGGAUGCAUAUUCAUUUAUGUAAUCUCCCCAAGGGUCCCAAAAGACAACCACAGAGAGAGAGAGAAUGGGCCUAUGAUUAAUCCCAUUUUACAGAUGAGGAAACUGAGGCACAGAGAGGUCAAGUAACUUAACAAAGUCACACAGCCAGCAAGUGGAGGAGCCAAGAUUUGAAGCUACAGAGGCUGGCUCCACAGCCCCAAUAAUGACCAAUAACAAGAACAUUAAGUGCUUAUUGUAUACCUGGGACUGAAAUUACACUUAUUGUAACAUGUAUGAUCUCCUUUCAUCUCACAAGUCUGUCAGGACCUGAGAUUAUGCUUAUUAUACAGAUAGAAAGAGAAGAGCCCAGGGCUGCGUGUAUGUGCGGAUGGGGCCCUAACUCCAUAUCAGAAAGGCCUAAUAAUCGAGACCCUCAUCAGGCUGCUGUGCCGCAUGUAGAAAGCUCACCGUAGAGCAGAAGCACAACAAAUGUUGCUGUACCACUGCCCACGUCUUCCUCCUAGGCUUUCUUGAGUAUCUCCCGCCCGGCCAGGCUAGGGGACAGGCCGAUGUGGGGCUCUGUCCUCAUGAGACCUCAGCCUGGAGGGGACUGGCAAGUCAGCCAGCUUCAGACUGGAGGGGGAAUUAUGAUGAUGCCAGGGAUGCAAGACCUCUGGGAACCCAGGGGAAGGGCCCUAAAUCCAAGAAGUCUUCCUGGAGGAGAUUGAAUCAACAUGGCAUCCUGACAGAGUCACCUGGAUUCUGCAACCGGCCUCCUCCCCACCGUCCUGCUCACACCCUCCACCCCAGCUGGAGCUGGGAGGAGGAUGCUCACCAUUCAUCCCGCAUCCCGGCCAUCGAUGGAAAUGUCAGGCAGCGGAGUGCACGCCUGAACACCUCUGGGGGCUGCUCGGGGGCUGCUCGGGGGCUGCACUGGCAGAUCGUCGAUGAGCUCCCGCCUGCUCCCUGGGCCUGCCUCGGAGUGGCCGGCCAGGGUCCUGGGUCUUUGAUUCUCCAGACUUGACAAAUUCACAGCCCCAACCUCAUCAGUAACUGCAGAAAAGCAGAGACAGAGCCUGUGCGCUGCCUCGGCCUGGCACAGGGGGCAAGCGUGGGGCGGGAAUCAGCACCUCUCCGUGCAGGGGGAGGCAGAAGCCCAAGCUCUCACCCCAGCGCGGUGUCUGUAGACUGAAACGCUGUUAGCUAAUCUGACAUGGGCAGUUUACAGCCUGGUAAAGGAAAAACACGGGCGCAGGCGCGUGGGCGCAGGCGGGCAGGAGUGGUACGGCAGCUCCGAUGGUGAAGAACAGGAUCACACAGGCCCGCCACCCUUACCCAAGUCCUGGGGAAGAUGGUGCUGGAACUCAGAUUUUUCCCAACUGUAGAAAGAUAAUAUGACACAAACACCCCAUGUUUCUUAAUACCCCCAAUAAAGUAUGGGCAGCCCCUGUAAUCAAACACACUA